GUGCGAUACCAUAAAUCCUCUUACCGAGAUUACACCAGGUUCCUAACCAAGUCAACAGCAGCAGAAACUGCAACGAGGGACGAAGAACUAUGAGUUAUUACAUUGCACUAUUCCAUUGACACUUUGCUAAAAUUACACAUUUCAAAGACAACCCUAUGCUGAGAGCUACAAACUCUUUUGUGAACAAGUGGUCCGUCAAAGGAUUAUCGUUGACAAAGAAGUGCUCAGAAUGGACAAGCUAAAAAGGUUGUUCGUGAACACCGUGAAGAACCAUGAGGAUCUUGAUGCUUCAGACUAAAAGUAGGUUUUGCUGAAAAGAAGAUUGAAGCGCGAUUUCCUCCAGUUGGUUUUUCACACCCCUUUCCAGCGCAACAUGUCUGAAAUGUUUUUUUUGUUUUUUUUUGAGACAUUAUCAACAACAGACAAACUUUUAGACAGGAUACCUCAGUCAUCGGGUACAUCAGCUACCGAAUCUACUGAGGUAAGCCAAGAAAGUGACACUGAAAAAAUGGGUAGCACAACAUCAGGUUGGAAAACCAGCUCUGGGCCCAAGUGUUUGUUCAGCCCUCUUUGGCAUCCAUACA